CUGUCAGGGGAAUGAUGAAUUAUUACAAGGCCCUGAAGUUGCUAGCUUUCCUUGAAUACCAUCAUGAUAU
rnacentral:snoRNA from 1 species